GUGCUCACUUUGGCAGCACAUAUACUGAAAUUAGAACAAUACAGAGAAGAUUUGCAUGGUCCCUGUGCAAGGAUGACAUGCAAAUUUGUGAAUCACUUCAUACUUUU